GUUGUAAGUGAAUGCAGGCAGAGAUACUUGUAAGUGAAUGCAGGCAGAGACAACAGUUCUCGUUUAUCUCUAUCUGCUUGGCUAAACAAUGCCAAGCUCUGAUGUUUUGGUAAUUCCUAAAAUUUGCAUCCUAAAAGGAAGGGUAAGGGCACCAAGAUAAGGUGGUUGCACAGUUUGACAGACUUCCAUGGAAAAUGAUUUUAGACUGGACCAACUGGUAAUGAUCUGAUACUGGCAAGCUUUU
rnacentral:misc_RNA from 1 species